UUUCCGUAGGUGAACCUGCGGAAGGAUCAUUAUUGUAUAACCGAGGUGCGAGGGCUGUCGCUGACCCGAAAGGUCGUGCACGCCCGAGUGCCCAUACACACAUCCAUCUCACCCCUAUGUGCACCACCGCGUGGGUCCCCCUUUGGCUUGUUCGGAGGGGGGCUUACGUUUUCACACAAACUUUGUAUGCAGUGUAGAAUGUAUUUUUUGUUUUUGCGAUCACGCAAUCAAUACAACUUUCAACAACGGAUCUCUUGGCUCUC
rnacentral:misc_RNA from 1 species